rnacentral:pre_miRNA from 1 species
GAUCUACUCCCUCCAUCCUAUAUUAAGUGACUUUCUAUUACAUGUAUCUAGACGCUUUUUAGGCAUAGAUACAUCCAUAUUUGGACAAAUUUGAGUCACUUAAUAUGGGAAGGAGGGAGUAAAUC